AUGUGUGUGUGUGCACGCAUGGGUGUGUGCAUGCAUGUGCAUUCGUACGUGUGCAUAUAUAGAUGCACGUGUGUUCAUGUGUAUAUGUNNNNNNNNNNNNNNNNNNNUAUAGAUGCACGUGUGUUCAUGUGUAUAUGUGUGUGUGUGCACGCAUGGGUGUGUGCAUACAUGGGCAUUCAUAUACAGGCAUCUACACGUGUGUGUUUAUGUGUGCACGUGUGUGCAUACAUGUGCAUUCAUAUACAGGCAUCUACAUGUGUGUAUAUGUGUGCACGCAUGGGUGUGUGCGUGCAUGCGCAUUCGUACGUGUGCAUAUAUAGAUGCACGUGUGUUCAUGUGUAUAUGUGCGUGUAUGUGUGUGUGUGUGUAAAAGGCCACACAAUUCCCCAACUUCUUCUCUCACAUCUCCACCCCCUCUCUGCACACACAAACUUUACCUCCCAAAGUGCCCACGCCCAGCUCCUCCCAACCUUGGGCCCUCCACUCAGACCCUCACCCACCUGGGAUCAACUUCCACCUUGGAACACACAGACUGUCAGACUGAGGGGACCAGAGGAGGCGCUGGCAGAGGGGAAUGCAAAGCUAAUCACUGGAAGAUGGGUCUGUUUAUUUGCAUGGCACGCAUUUGUCUCUGACUGUUUUAUCCACCCCCUGAGCCAGCCGAAGAGUUCUCAAUUUAUCCUGCCCGCGCAGAAAGACCAGAUUGGCGGCGUGUACGCACAGCCACAGAAGCCCGAUAUAGACUUCCAAUUAUCUUUUAAUUUUGCUCCUGUCUUCAUUUGUUCAUUUCACUUUUUCCAAAUGGACUGGAGGGAAAAAAAAAAAAAAAGCUGUAAUUUAUGGAGUUUGAAGUCUGCUGGCAGGAGCGCCGUGUUCACCUGACGGAUGGGAUUAGACUUCAGGUUAGUGCCUGAAGCUCACUCCCCACCACCCUUGGGGGAGCCAGCUGCCUCUGAGAGGCCCCAGAGCCCCUGCUCUCCCACUUCUGGUUCCGAGUCCCUGUAGUAACUAUAUCCUCUCAUUUUCUAUAUUUUCCACCCUCUGUCAUCUGGGCCCUCUGAGCUGACUAUGAGCUCCCAAGUCUUAGCUAGUUCCUAGCAAUGGCAAACGACUCACCCAGGAGCACCCUUAUCAUACGCAAAUGAGCCCAAAGGCUUCCUCCAACCACCUCCUUCUGGGCUUUCACAGGGCUCCAAUAUUCCCCUGCCCUAAUCACUCCAGGAGAAGGCCGAG
rnacentral:lncRNA from 1 species